UGUUUUUCUCAUAACGCAUUAAGCGCUAAACGAUCAAAUGAUAAACAAAUCCUGUUAGGAAACCUAUAUAUUUGCACGUAUUCAUAACAAGAAAUCAAGUUGAUGCAUGUGCCGUAAAAGUUAUUACUAGAAUUCGGGAUUUGCUAUCAUCGUAACCGGAACAAUGUCGUCUGUCAGGAUAUUGGUUGUUUUCUUAGUUGUGUGCGUCCUCGCAGGGAGUUUAGUGCAGCAGGCAGAAGCGACCGAAGCGUGCGACUGUAAGUUUUUCUGUGGAAGAAAAGAAUGCCAAGUCGGAAGGUGUGGCAGGUGGGGUUGGCGUAGAACGUGUUGUCCUAAUACCAGUCCGAGAUGCCACGAAUGAAUCUUUGAUUCCAUGGCGGAUACAACAUACGAACACAAUCGAUGACUAUAUUUAUCUAAUAAACACUGACUAUAUUUAUCUAAUAAAGACAAGACAAUUUAUUUCGUAAAAAGGCCACCGGCCAAAAACACAAUAUACAAAAAAGUAACAUUAUACAUGCAUGAGUUGUGAAAAGUUUUAUACGUAUGCUGUUCGUAUUAAGAAAUAAAUGAAUAAUGUAAUUUUAUUCAAUAUAC